rnacentral:rRNA from 1 species
GUGGGGAAUUUUUCGCAAUGGGGGAAACCCUGACGAAGCAACGCCGCGUGGGUGAUGAAGUCUCUUGGGACGUAAAACCCUUUCGACAGGAAAGAAUACUGACGGUACCUGUGGAAGAAGCCCCGGCUAACUCCGUGCCAGCAGCCGCGGUAAUACGGGGGGGGCAAGCGUUGUUCGGAAUUACUGGGCGUAAAGGGCGCGUAGGUGGUUUGCUAAGUCAGAUGUGAAAACUCUGGGCUUAACCCAGAGCCUGCAUCUGAUACUGGCGGGCUAGAGUGCUGGAGGGGGAAUUGGAAUUCCAGGUGUAGCAGUGAAAUGCGUAGAUAUCUGGAGGAACACCGGUGGCGAAGGCGGAUUCCUGGACAGCAACUGACACUGAGGCGCGAAAGCCGGGGGAGCAAACAGGAUUAGAAACCCGAGUAGUCC